AGAGCUUGAGAUGGAGAUAGCAGGAU
rnacentral:snRNA from 1 species